AAAGUACUCCCUCCGUCCCAAAAUUCUUGUCUUAUAUUUGUCUAGAUACGGAUGUAUCAAGUCACAUUUUAGUAUUAGAUACAUCCGUAUCUAGACAAAUCUAAGACAAGAAAUUUGGGACAGAGGGAGUAGUUG
rfam:Triticum aestivum genome assembly, contig: Triticum_aestivum_CS42_TGACv1_scaffold_579405_7BL